rnacentral:lncRNA from 1 species
AGGAGGGAGUGGCUAAUAGCAUGCCAUGAUUGAUGGUGACCUAGGAAAAUGAAGAAAAGUAGGUAUCUAUGUUCCAAUCUUCAGCACUGUAUUAAAGAGAGCAGCUUGGAAAUGAGCUUAGGAUCCACAGGUCCUGGGAAAUAGCUUAGGACCCAUAGAUAAAGUUGGUGAAGGUGAGUAAAAUGGAACCUCAUCUAUGGGUUGCUUUAAGAAUU